rnacentral:rRNA from 1 species
UGCGCAGGCGGUUGUGCAAGACCGAUGUGAAAUCCCCGGGCUUAACCUGGGAAUGGCAUUGGUGACUGCACGGCUAGAGUGUGUCAGAGGGGGGUAGAAUUCCACGUGUAGCAGUGAAAUGCGUAGAGAUGUGGAGGAAUACCGAUGGCGAAGGCAGCCCCCUGGGAUAACACUGACGCUCAUGCACGAAAGCGUGGGGAGCAAACA